UGGGGAAUAUUGCGCAAUGGGCGAAAGCCUGACGCAGCGACGCCGCGUGGGGGAUGAAGGCCUUCGGGUUGUAAACCUCUUUCACCACCGACGAAGCUAACGUGACGGUAGGUGGGGAAGAAGCGCCGGCUAACUACGUGCCAGCAGCCGCGGUAAUACGUAGGGCGCAAGCGUUGUCCGGAAUUAUUGGGCGUAAAGAGCUCGUAGGCGGUCUGUUGCGUCUGCCGUGAAAACCCGAGGCUUAACCUCGGGCCUGCGGUGGAUACGGGCAGACUAGAGGUAGGUAGGGGAGAAUGGAAUUCCCGGUGUAGCGGUGAAAUGCGCAGAUAUCGGGAGGAACACCGGUGGCGAAGGCGGUUCUCUGGGCCUUACCUGACGCUGAGGAGCGAAAGCAUGGGGAGCGAACAGGAUUAGAUACCCCCGUAGUCC
rnacentral:rRNA from 1 species